GGGGAAUAUUGCACAAUGGGCGCAAGCCUGAUGCAGCAACGCCGCGUGAGGGACGACGGCCUUCGGGUUGUAAACCUCUUUUGGCAGGGAAGAAGCGAAAGUGACGGUACCUGCAGAAAAAGCACCGGCUAACUACGUGCCAGCAGCCGCGGUGAUACGUAGGGUGCAAGCGUUGUCCGGAAUUAUUGGGCGUAAAGAGCUCGUAGGCGGUUUGUCGCGUCUGCUGUGAAAACCCGAGGCUCAACCUCGGGCCUGCAGUGGGUACGGGCAAACUAGAGUGCGGUAGGGGAGAUUGGAAUUCCUGGUGUAGCGGUGGAAUGCGCAGAUAUCAGGAGGAACACCGAUGGCGAAGGCAGAUCUCCGGGCCGUAACUGACGCUGAGGAGCGAAAGCAUGGGGAGCGAACA
rnacentral:rRNA from 1 species